UACGUAGGGGGCUAGCGUUGUCCGGAUUUAUUGGGCGUAAAGAGCGUGUAGGCGGCCAGGUAGGUCCGUUGUGAAAACUCGAGGCUCAACCUCGAGACGCCGAUGGAAACCAUCUGGCUAGAGUCCGGAAGAGGAGAGUGGAAUUCCCGGUGUAGCGGUGAAAUGCGCAGAUAUCAGGAGGAACACCGAUGGCGAAGGCAGUUCUCUGGGCCGUAACUGACGCUGAGGAGCGAAAGCGUGGGGAGCGAACAGG
rnacentral:rRNA from 1 species